CCCUACGGGGGGCAGCAGUGAGGAAUAUUGGUCAAUGGUCGGGAGACUGAACCAGCCAAGCCGCGUGAGGGAUGAAGGUACAGAGUAUCGUAAACCUCUUUUGUCAGGGAACAAAGGCGGGGACGCGUCCCCGGAUGAGUGUACCUGAAGAAAAAGCAUCGGCUAACUCCGUGCCAGCAGCCGCGGUAAUACGGAGGAUGCGAGCGUUAUCCGGAUUUAUUGGGUUUAAAGGGUGCGCAGGCGGUCUGGUAAGUCAGCGGUGAAAGCCCGGGGCUCAACCCCGGCCCGCCGUUGAAACUGGCCGG
rnacentral:rRNA from 1 species